GAGGAUUGGGAUAUUCCGACUCCUUAAGGGCCUGGCGCACAUAAGGGCCACAUCUGCCAGAGCCUGGAGUCUGCGAAGGCCGGGACCCGGUUCCCCGGCCCACAGUGGGGGUGUGCAAACCCGAGAGAACUGGGUUGCAAAUUCGUGAAGAAUCAGCAUCAUGUUUGGCAGCUGAGUAUUGGAGCCAGGAGCCUGCCAUGAGGUUUUGAGAACAGAGUGCUGUUUUAGAGCUGGCAGCAGCAUCUCAGCCCAAGAGAAGGUUAUAUUCCCAGAGGAUGUCAGUCCCAAGGACCAGUAGCUGCCAUCAGUUUGGAUUCUGAAAACUAACUGGCAUCAACACUGGGUGUAGAAACAUGCUUGCCUUAUGUAUCAGAGGACAUGCUCAGCAGAUCCAAGAGAUAUAUUUGGCAACUUUUUCUAGAAAAGGCACAUUGGGUAUCAUUCAUUACAUUCUUGAGUUUUUUUGGGUUUUUUUUUUUUUUUUUGAGACAGUCUUGCUGUAUUGCCCAGGCUGGAGUGUGGUGGCACAAUCACAGCUCAUUGCAUCCUCAAUCACCCAGGCCUAAGCAAUCCUCCCACCUUGUAGCUGGGACUACAGCUCACAGCACACCUGGCUAAAAUUUUUUUUUUGUUGAGACGGAUUCUCUAUGUUGCCCAGGCUGGUCUCAGGCUCCUGGGCUCAGAUGGUCCUCCUGCCUCAGCUUCCAAAGGCACAGGCCAAGUUGUAGCUUUGUCCCUUGCCAUCAUGCCCAACAAGAGGUUCUAUACCUUUUAAUGAAUUGACUUUCAUAAAUUGGUUAUGUUGGUGGGCAAAGUUCUUUAAGCUGGAAAUUGUAAAUUCCUCCUGAAAUGUUUUUUCAUGCAGUUACCAUGAACUAAUACUACAAUAAAGGAUGGUCUUGGGUGUCAAUUCUUGAAAAUGUG
rnacentral:lncRNA from 1 species